rfam:Pantoea sp. AS1 15__len__215529, whole genome shotgun sequence.
CAGCUGAAAGGCUGAGCGAUAACCAAAAUGAUAAACAAAUUCCUCUUUGAAGGGCCGAUAGCAAUACCGGCCUUCUUUUU